AAAGCGUGCGCAGGCGGUUAUAUAAGACAGAUGUGAAAUCCCCGGGCUCAACCUGGGAACUGCAUUUGUGACUGUAUAGCUGGAGUGCGGCAGAGGGGGAUGGAAUUCCGCGUGUAGCAGUGAAAUGCGUAGAUAUGUGGAGGAAUACCAAUGGCGAAGGCAGCCCCCUGGGAUAACACUGACGCUCAUGCACGAAAGCGUGGGGAGCAAACAGGAUUAGAUACCCUAGU
rnacentral:rRNA from 1 species